UGGAAACGGUAGCUAAUACCGCAUGACCUCGCAAGAGCAAAGUGGGGGACCUUCGGGCCUCACGCCAUCGGAUGUGCCCAGAUGGGAUUAGCUAGUAGGUGGGGUAAUGGCUCACCUAGGCGACGAUCCCUAGCUGGUCUGAGAGGAUGACCAGCCACACUGGAACUGAGACACGGUCCAGACUCCUACGGGAGGCAGCAGUGGGGAAUAUUGCACAAUGGGCGCAAGCCUGAUGCAGCCAUGCCGCGUGUGUGAAGAAGGCCUUCGGGUUGUAAAGCACUUUCAGCGAGGAGGAAGGCAGUCGUGUUAAUAGCACGAUUGAUUGACGUUACUCGCAGAAGAAGCACCGGCUAACUCCGUGCCA
rnacentral:rRNA from 1 species